CACCUACGGAAGAUCGUAGGUUAGACGGGGGACACGUCGGCUAAACACACACCCCAUUCUACAAAAAUGUAGACAAAGGGGCAAGUGUCCAAGAGUAAAGUCCUCACCCACGGAUGAACGCGGGUAGACGAGGAAGCACAAUCAGCCCCUAUCGCGGAAAGGCGGAAAAAAGGAGGGGGCAAGUAUUCGAGUAAUAUUCCUCACCCACGGAUGAACGCGGGUAGACGAGGAAGCACAAUCAACCCCUAUCGCGGAAAGGCGGAAAAAAAGGAGGGGGCAAGUAUUCAAGUAAUAUUCCUCACCCACGGAUGAACGCGGGUAGACGAGGAAGCACAAUCAGCCCCUAUCGCGGAAAGGCGAAAAAAAGGAGGGGGCAAGUAUUCAAAUAAUAGUCCUCACCCACGGAUGAACGCGGGUAGACGAGGAAGCACAAUCAGCCCCUAUCGCGGAAAGGCGGAAAAAAGGAGGGGGCAAGUAUUCAAGUAAUAUUCCUCACCCACGGAUGAACGCGGGUAGACGAGGAAGCACAAUCAGCCCCUAUCGCGGAAAGGCGGAAAAAAGGAGGGGUCAAGUAUUCAAACAAUAGUCCUCACCCACGGAUGAACGCGGGUAGACGAGGAAGCACAAUCAGCCCCUAUCGCGGGAAGGCGGAAAAAAGGAGGGGGCAAACAUUCAAUUAACAGUCCUCACCCACGAAUGAACGUGGGUAGACGAGGAAGUACACUCAGCCCCUAUCGCAGAAAGGCGGAAAAAAGGAGGGGGUCGGGUACUCUCAAAACCCGCCACAGGGAAGAGAACCCAAGCAGUGCUCAAGGACAGCUCAGGCAAGGCGUCAAGGUGGGCAAGCAGGGUUCCGCGGGAGAAUCGGGCCGGACAGGUGUGCAAGGAGUAGGCUUCGGCUAGGACAAACCGGACAAU
rnacentral:lncRNA from 1 species